GUAGGUGAACCUGCGGAAGGAUCAUUAUUGAAUGAACAUGGAGUCGGUUGUCGCUGGCCCCUUCACUGGGGCAUGUGCACGCCUUCUCUAUUCAUCCACACACACCUGUGAACUUGUGAGACGGAUAGUAGUCCCCUCGGGGGUGAGCUCCGUCUGCUAUACAUAAACUCCAGUAAAUAAAUUUGAAUGUCAUCUGAUGUAACGCAUCUAUAAACUAAGUUUCAACAACGGAUCUCUUGGUUCUG
rnacentral:misc_RNA from 1 species